rnacentral:rRNA from 1 species
UGGGGAAUUUUGGACAAUGGGCGCAAGCCUGAUCCAGCAAUGCCGCGUGCAGGAAGAAGGCCUUCGGGUUGUAAACUGCUUUUGUCAGGGAAGAAAUCUUCUGGGCUAAUACCCCGGGAGGAUGACGGUACCUGAAGAAUAAGCACCGGCUAACUACGUGCCAGCAGCCGCGGUAAUACGUAGGGUGCGAGCGUUAAUCGGAAUUACUGGGCGUAAAGCGUGCGCAGGCGGUUAUGUAAGACAGAUGUGAAAUCCCCGGGCUCAACCUGGGAACUGCAUUUGUGACUGCAUGACUGGAGUGCGGCAGAGGGGGAUGGAAUUCCGCGUGUAGCAGUGAAAUGCGUAGAUAUGCGGAGGAACACCGAUGGCGAAGGCAAUCCCCUGGGCCUGCACUGACGCUCAUGCACGAAAGCGUGGGGAGCAAACAGGAUUAGAUACCCUGGUAGUCCACGCCCUAAACGAUGUCAACUGGUUGUUGGACGGCUUGCUGUUCAGUAACGAAGCUAACGCGUGAAGUUGACCGCCUGGGGGAGUACGGCCGCCAAGGUUUGGAAAACUUAAAUCGAAUUGACGGGGUCAAUAGCUGUUUCCU